rnacentral:lncRNA from 1 species
CCGGGGCUGCGGGCGGGCGGCGACGCGCACCGGGAGCGAGGAGCGCCCUGAGCGCGGCCGGCGGGGGAGGGCGCUGAGCCGCGGCGGCCUCGGCGAGGCGAGUGCUGAGGAGCGGGCGAGGACCUCCUGCCCUUCCCGGGGCUGUGCGAGGCGUUCUCCACCUUCUCCGAGGCAGGAUUUUUCUUGGAGAGAAUUCCGGUACAGACGAGAGAAAGGGAAACACCAUACCCAAUACCGGCAUGAAUAUGCAAAAUUUGUGGACCUUCCAAUUGGACAAUCAAACCACAGAUACAUCGCUCCCAGAUCAGUCAGCUAGCCUGACAAGGAGGAGACAUUCUCUGCCUCAGUCCUAUGAGUACACCUGCAAAGCAGUCUCUGACCUGAGAUCCAUCUGCAAAGUUAAGCAGGAAAUAUACAUGGAAUAGCAAGUAUUCAAGAGCAUGAUGAAGUUGCUGGUCCUACAACCUGAAACCACUGACACAGGAACCUGAAACUGAGACAGGUUGGUACAGGGAAUCGAGGAGAAGAGGAGCCACAACAUGGCCAACAGACAACAUGGCUGACAGACAACAUGGCCAACAGACAACAUGGCCGACAGACAACAUGGAUGACAGACAACAUGGCUGCAAAACGUCACUGAGAUCUUGACCUUGAUGUUCCAGUUGGGCCAAGGAGAGGGCUACAGAUAAUUCCAAACAGGUCUCCCCAUUGGUCCCAGAACUUACCACAUGAAAGGUCUAACCUUUGGCCCCACCACUGGUGUGGUAAGCGAUAACAGCUGGGGUCCCUCCCCUUAGCAUUAGCAAGGGGAGAAAGUAAUUAAUAGUUCAGUCAAGGUAACUGUGCAAGCCAAAUCAUUCUCUCUGCCUAGAGGAGCCUGCAUCAAAUAUGUGUAUUUCCAUCCUUCUCUCCCAUUUCUCAGCAAGCUCUGUUCUUUCCCCCCAUUUCCCAAUAAAUUCUUUUUACUGGUCUA